CGCAAUGAUCCCGGCCCAAAUCAUAACAAUUAAUUUUAGUUGAUUUUGGUUUGUUAGACGUUCAUCCUUCUCUUUUGUGAUUUCGCUGCUCUUGUUGCUCGAACGAUCAGCUGUCGGGAUCGUGAAGACCUUCGUCGAACCGGCUAAGUGAGUACAAAGUGUAACGAGAUUGCGAAAAGUUGGUUCUCGUCCGGCAAAUAUGAUAUGUACUUUCUUGUACUUGCGAGCGAUGGACACGGUAUCGGGACAUUGAACGCGCUCUUAUUUUCUCCAGUUUAACCGAGCGUAAUUGUCUGAACGUCGCGCGAUUGUGUGUUGCAUUGGGAUGGUUUCGGGUGUACAAUGAUGCACUCGUGAGCGGCGUUAAGUUGCGAGAAGAGCGCGACUUUGCGCCUAAGCAAACGGUGGUGUGAAUCGGGUCAGAUUCACAGGGUGAAAAAGAAGGUGCGCGAGUAGUUGAUCAGUGAGACGAGACCUAACGACACAUCGCGACGCGACGCGACAGCAACGUUGGUUUCUUUACAAUAUUCUCGCCGUGAAAAAAGAUGUCAACGCCAACUCAUAGAUGAUAAUCGCACCGUUAUUCUGAGCAAAAUACACGAAAAUGGCGUCCUCAGAAAUUGACGAUUUACUGGCCGGACCAUUGGUCACUUGGGUUGUCAGCUGUCUGGAGGAUCCUGAUGCAUUAGCAAAUUACGAAGACUUAGUAGAUGGUGUCUUGCUGCAUAGUGUCUUCCUACAAAUCAACCCAGAACCGCUGCAUGAUGAAGUUGUGCCUUCUGAUGGCAAUCCUGUUAUUCGUACAAAAAACUUGAAAACUAUAGUACAAAAUAUAAAACAAUUCUACGAAGAAGAGAUGGACAAUCUGAUUUUAAAGUUACCAGAUAUCACGAAUUUAGGAAAGGAACCUGAAUUGUAUAUAGCUGAUAUGAAGUUAUUGCUACUGUUAUUGCUUGGAUGUGCUGUCCAGUGUCCCAAUCAGGAAAAAUUUAUCAGCAAAAUAACAACUUUACAUCUUGAUACUCAACUUGCUAUAGUGGAUUGUAUCAAACAAAUUACAGACCAUCAAGAUAUAGUCAUUACACAGGAUGCUAUGGCAAAUGCAAAUAUGGGUUAUCUAUUUGUUCAGAUAAAAAAGUGGACUCAAGAAUUGGAUUUUUAUCGGGAGAAAUGGAGAGAUGCUGCGCUAGAUGAUAGUGUUGAACGAAAUGAAUCUUCAAGUAGUGCAUCUGAAGAAAUAAUCAAGGUGCAGCAAUCUCACCCUGUUACAAAGGCUGAAAGAGAAAAUAAUUACCACUAUGCAGUAGAAUUAGCCGAUUGGAAAUCUAAAGUCCGGAAACAACGUCAGGAAUUAGAAGAAAAGACAGAAGCUUUGCUUGAGUGUAAGGAAGAGCUCGAACAUAACAAAACAUUGCUCGUUAAACUGAGGCAAGAGAAUCAAGAAUUAAUGCACGAAGCUCGUGCUGCUAAAUCCUACAGAGAUGAAUUAGAUGCCAUGAUCGAACGAGCGGAACGAGCGGAUCGUUUAGAAAUAGAGGUUGCACGUUAUAGAGAAAAACUCACGGACAUUGAAUUCUAUAAAACUCGAAUAGAAGAAUUAAGGGAAGACAAUAGGGUUUUAAUGGAAACCAGAGAGAUGCUUGAGGAACAAUUAAGUUCGUCGAGAAAUAGAGCUGAUAAAGUGUUGGAACUUGAAUCUGAAAUCAUUAAGUAUAAACAAUUACUUAACGACAUGGUGCUGGAACGUGCUGCCGACAAAGAGAAAUAUCAAGAACUUGUCGAGGAGAAUACUCAAUUACAUCAAAUAACGAAAGCUGCUGCCAAUGAAGCUGCGUUAGCUGGAUCCAGUGAUUCAGAAGAGCCAGUGCCUGACGAGAACAGAUUGUCUGAACAAUUAACGAGCAAUGCUGAGAGGAGAGCGUUGAGACUAGAAUUGGAAAAUCGUCGUUUAAGUACAUUGAUCGAUUCGAUGAAGGAGACUUCGUUUCAUGAAAAUUCGUCUCACGUUCUGGAGCUAGAGAAAGAUAAAAAAAAGCUUUCGUUAAAAGUCGAGUCAUUGAACGAUAAUAACGAGAGGCUCACGCAACAAAACUCUGACUUGGAAUUGGUUUGCAAGCAAGCAUUGGAAGAAAAUAAGAAACUUCAAAAUAAUCUCAAGAAUCAACGUAUUUCCUCCGACAAACAACAACAAGAACUUCAAAUCCACCAUACAAAAAUAAUAGAACUGGAAAAAAGUUAUGACACAGCAGUGAAAGAAAAACAACGUGUUCAAUUGUUACUAGAAAGCGUGCGACGACGUGCUGACGAUUUAGAACGCACUUUAGAGACGACGAACCAAAAAGUCGAGGAACUGAAAGUUAUUGAGAACAACGUCAAUGAGAUCAAUUCUAAAUAUCUCGAUCUCGAAUCGAGACUAACAGCGACGGAGAAAGAAAAAGAUGUCGCACAACGUGAUAUUCAUAAAUAUAGAGAAACGAUCGAGGAAAAAGAUGUGGCCCUAGAUAAAGCGACAAAUACAAUCGAAGUCUUGGAGAGGAAAGUGCUGCAACUCGAACAGGAGCUACAAGAUUGCGUUACACAGAUAUCUAGGUGCGCACUGCAGGAAAUCGAGAGAAGUAGUAAAGAACUCGAUACGCGAGCUGCGAUUGAUAGAGAAACUCUAGAGAUACUUCAGUCUAAUCUUGUCGCGGAGAAACGAAGCAAUCAACAGUUGUUUACGAUUUUAGAAAAACUCGGCCUUAGCGACAAUAUGUUGUUAACCUUGUCUUUAGAAACUAUAAUGGAGAGAAUUUCCCAGUUACCAGAAAUAAUAAAUUACGUAAAGAAAUCGUCUCUCUCAGAGAACAGCUGCAACGAGAAAGCGAUAUCUGAAUCCAUCGAGAAAGAAAAUAGCAAUGAGCUGAAUAAAACCUUCGAAGCUAUAAUAGAACCUCUGAAGCGCGAGGUGGAACAACUGCAGAUGAAGUCGUCCAUGUCUCAAACGGCCUCGGAACAUUUGUUAUCCGAGAACGCGAAACUUCAGGUUCACAUCACAACGUUACAGUCGCAAACCAAUUCGUUAAACGCGCAACACACCGCUCUACAACUGGCAAAUUCACAAUUAGUCGCUGAAAAAGAAGAGCUUUUGAAGGAACGCAACACGCAACAGCAGGUUCAUUCGGCGCUACUCCGUGAUCAAAGCACUAUGCAGUCGUUGCACGAACAACUGAACAACGAGUAUGAGAUUUUGCGCCAUGAACGUGACUCUCUUAAAUCAAAUCUGAGAGACGCGAGGAACGAGAAUAGAACAUUGCGCGAGACUGUCGAGCGACUGGAGACAAAGAGCGAAGCGUUGCAAUCUGAACGGGAAGCUUUCGUCAACAACACGAGAAGCUUAAAUAAUCUUCGAGGAGAACACUCUAAGUUGAAGGAUGAUUUCAGAAAUCUGUAUACUGCAAGCGAAAGAUUGAAGGCGGAAUACAGAAACUUGCAGGAAGAUUAUAGAAAGAAUAAAGUCGAGGUGAAUCGCUUGAGUCUAAAGCAGACUGAGAUGCAGGGAGAGCUUAGUAUUAAAGACGAACGGUGCUCGGACUUGGAGGCAGAAGUUAAUCAUCUCAAUGAACGAUGUGAGAUGUUAUUAGAGAUGAAUUCUGGAUUGGAUAAUGACAGGCGUUCCUUAAUGGAGCAUAUAAGUUUAUUAUUUACACAGUAUCAUGAACUUUUGACGCAUUCGCUUCAAGAUAAGGAACAUUACCACAUGGAGGAGAAAAUGUUCACGGAUAAAGUUAAUCAGUUGUAUAGACAGAAAGAGAAGUUGGAGGACAAAAUAAUGGAACACUACAGGAAACUGAACAGCUGUACCACCAAAAAGAAAAGUUUCGGAGCCAAUUUAGUUCGUAGAGUCAGAAAAGCCGGAUCGGAACUCCUAAAUAAGAAUCGCCGUUCAUGGGCUGAAGAUUCCAAGCAAUCGGACUGUAAGACUUACGAGUCAGAUACAGCCGGGAACGAUUCGGAUGCCAGCACCGACGAUUACCGUUUACCUGGACCGAGCAGAAUUCUCGGGUCAGACGCUCUCGGACAUGCCGGGACCAGAAGAACGGUGUACUAUACCGACGAUUCUCCACCGUCAUCCACUUCUUUGCCGGCGGACAGACUACUGGGCGAAUCCUAUCAAGAACAAGGAGACGAUGGACAGCAUGCCGCGCAGAUGGAACCGAAUUUGAAAUCGGAAACUCAGCAAGUAGAGUCGCGUCCCUUUCUAAUCUAUAACAAAGUGUCGGCGGUCAUAAACGAGUCCAAGAGCGUUAGUGGUACUCCGAUGAAGGAUGUGGUACAGGACGAAGCGCUCACGGAAUCGCCCGCUGAUAAAGAGCCAAAGACUGGAAGUCCGAUAUGGUACGAAUAUGGUUGUGUAUAAACAAACUCUCAUACUGCCCACACAUGAUGCUUCCAUUAGUAUAUUCAAGGAAAAAUAUAGGGUGUCUCUAUACAUAUAUCUCAUAAUUGCGAGUGUAAUGCCAAAUUAAUUGCUUGGGGUGUGCAAGUCUCUGCGUGUGCACGACUAUGCACGUAAUUCGGCUGUUUACGUAAAUAGGCGUUCUCGAAGCCUAUGACGCUUUGUUUUUCGCCUCUAAUCGUUCCAAGUCCUGCGAUUAUUUGCUUUCGUUUUCCAUACAUCGUGGAUGUUCUCUUGUUUUCGUUUUCACUUAAAGUUGUAAUAGAGCAGGUUAUUUUCGAUGGAUCGUUAUUGAGCCAUUCUGAUUCGUAUUUCAAGGAUUUCUAUUUAAAGUCUUUUGUAAGUCUUUGGAUGUGGUUUUCGUCACUGCGAAACUACGCUUAAUUUUUGUCUAUUGUGACUGCAUACGCGUAGUCCCUGUUCUUCGUACCACACUUCAUUCUUAUUUUUUUUUCUAUUAUCUCAAUUUAUCGUAAAAUGGCGUUUGGGAAUUCGCCUUAAUAGGCGCUGUUAGCCAAUACUGAAGAAAGGAAAGAUCUCUAUUUCAGAAUUCUGUGUUCUCAGAGUCAGAAAUAGAUAUUAUUAUUAAAUUCUAUUAAAGAGCGUCUUGACCGUGAUUUGGAAAUUUUGCGAGCACCUGCACAUCCCUAUCAUUUUAUACUCUAUGAACGAACAAAAAAAGAGACAAACGCAACGUAAAUUACAUGCCUGUUCAAACGAGAUCGACAAAAAAGCGAAAAAGUAUUACGUAUACUAAAGAUUUUUUACCUUUUAAUAUCGUGGACAAAUUUGCGCAUGUAAUUGGAAAUUACAAAGAAAUGACAUUACAAAGUAGAUUUAAGAAUAGAGCGCCUACGAGUUCCUAGAAAGCUUUCGUGCUAAAUCGACGUAUAGUCGUAACGUGAAUCGAAUUGACGUUCGUCGUUGAUGAUUUACGCAAUUCGAAAAUUAUUCGUCUAACGUGUUCUUUUUUAUAUUUUCACUGUUUCUAUAUUUUACACUUUUAAUUCGUUAUUCUUCUUUCGAUUAGGAUUUUUAGUGAAUUUGCAUGAAAGAUAACGCAUUUUGAUUUUAUUUCGACAUUGAGAUAAAUUUUAAAAAGCUUUGAACUAAGAUUAAUGUCUCGAUUUCACGGUCGCCUGGUGCUAUUUCUUAUUACGAAAUAAGGUUCGAUUAUAUAAAUGUACAAUUUCACAUGAAACAUGAUGCAGGUAGGACUUAUUUUAUUCAAGAAAAUAUCUUUCAUGUAUAUUCACCGAAUAUUUUAACGAUAAAUUUUAUUCUUUUUUUUAUUCUCUUUAUUCAUGUGAAGAGAAAAGCUCUCGGGGAAAAAGAAUUCAUGAGCGAUGAAUGAUCUCGAGAAAUUGACAGUCAAGAUACCGAGUAACAAAGUUACAGCUGCUUUAACAACAUUGUGCUCGACUUGAUGUAACGCUUACCCGGUUCUAUUUUUACUCGCAAAUGUAAUACGAAACUAUUGGGUCGAGUAAAAAGUAAUUUCGUAUUUUGUGGACAGAUGGCAUUAAGAAGUGUUUAGUGCAAUCUUUACCCAAUAUCUGACACCAUAUAUUUUUUUGAAAGAUUAAGUUUUCUUGCGUAUUUUAAGCUGUUAUUUGUCAAAGUUCGUUCAGUAAUUUUUAUUUGGCGACAUUGUAAACAUGGAGCAAAAUAAGCAAUAUUUUCGGUGUUUGAUGCUUUUCUAUUUUCGCAAAGGGAAAAAUACGACACAAACCAAAAAAAAAAGAUAUGUGCCGUGUAUGGAGAAGAUGCUGUAAGCGAACAUGUAUGCCAAAACUGGUUUGCGAAAUUUCGUGCUGGCGAUAUGAUAUGUUAAGAUUGUGAGCGCUCAGAGAUAAUCAACAUAUCUCAGAGGACCGUUGUGAACCACUUGCACACGCUUAGCUCCGUGUCUCGGUACAAUAUUUGGAUACCUCACAAUUUGAACGAAAAAAAAUUUAAUGAACCGCAUCUCCAUUUGCGAUUUAUUGCUCAAACGCAAUAAAAACGUUUCAUUUCUAAAACGGAUGAUAACGGGCGACGAAAAGUGGAUUGUGUAUAACAAUGUAGAGCGCAAAAGAUCGUAGGGAAAAGAAGAUGAACCGCCGCAAACCACACCGAAGCAAAACAUCCAUGCGAAAAAAGUCACGCUGUGUAUUUAGUGGGAUUGGAAAGGUAUCGUGUACUACGAGUUGCUUCCGCAAACAAUUGAUUCCAACAAUGAUUGUUCCCAAUUGAACUACUUAAAAGCAGCAAUCGAUGAGAAGCGUCCGGAAUUGAGCAAUCGUUAUGGUAUUAUUAUAUUCCACCAAGCCAACACUAGACCGCACGUAUCUUUGGCAACUCAGCAAAAAUUAUUGCAGCUUAGCUGAAAUGUCUUACCUCAUUCUCCGUAUUCACCUGACCUGACAUCAUCAAACGUCCACUUAUUCAGAUCUCUGCAGAAUUUCCUCAAUGGAAAAAAUUUUAUUUCUUUAGAGGCCUGCAAAAAGCAUCUUGAGCAGUUUUUUGCUCAAAAAACGAGGAAGUUUUGGAGGAUCGAAUCUUUAAAUUGUCUGAAAGAUGACGAAAGGUUAUUGGACUAAAUAGUGCAUAUAUUGCUCACUAAAGGCAUUUUUUAAUACAAAAAUAUCUUUCAAUUUCAUCUAAAAAUACUAAAUUACUUUUUACUCAACCCAAUAUAUAAGAUUUCGUUGAGAAGUUUUUGCGUACGCAGCUAUCUAACGUCGCAUUAUCUACUGUUGAUAGGUAGAUAGGAUUCUUACGCUUAUUUUCCGGGAAUGUAAGAUGCAAUUAUUUUCUUCUCCCAUAGAAAAGCCAAGACUAACGUAGAGAUAUAAACAAAGUGUCAUGCAGGUAACAAAGGCACAAACUUGCAUUUGCUUUUUACAUUUGUAUCGAUUACCUCUUCGUCACAAGACACUUUAACGCGGUGUAAGUUAUAUAGGCUACUUUUUUAUAUUUCGAUAACUUAUAUUUUUAUAAUAAUUUUGUGUGUACGUAUUAGGUGUGUAAGUAGGUAAUUUAAUAUAAGCGAUAUACACACACACACCUGUCUUCUAUGUCUUAAAAAUAUCCCAUACGUGCUGAGAUUUUUUAUGUAAUGCUACACUUAUAUAAUGAGAUAUCGCGAGUAACACAUCCUUCAUUUAAAUCGUGUACUUGCUAUUUCCACUCGACUAUCGUCUUCUAAUACGUCUUUCCGCAGGUUAAAAUAUGGUACCGAUAUGUGAUAUAAUCUGUAAUUACAAUCUCGUUAUAUAUCGUAUGUUAAAUAAAAAAAAAUAUAAUAAAAGAGAGAGAAAGAAAAAGGGAGAG
rnacentral:misc_RNA from 1 species